CCUCACCACCGUCAUCCAAAUAUGGAAUCAAUUUAGGGUAUACCUCCCCCUGAAUUACUUGUGUGUCCAGAUUUGUCAAAACUAAGAAGCUUGGACCCACAUCUACUGAGGAAACAACACAAAGCAGAAAGCCAGAGAAGAAAUGGAUACAUGGAAGCGCCUACUUGUUUUUUUUCUUUUGUGCACUUUGAUGCAAAUCUAUCAGGGUCUCUCUUACGGUGAGGAAGAGGAGAAACAGUGCUGGCCGGGCAAAGAUAAAUCCCACAGGACAGCUCUGUUCCAACCCAUUGUAAACCUCAUGAAGAGAUCUAAAGCCCUUCGCUUCUACGGACUCAUGGGGAAGCGCUCAGGUUACAAAGCAGAGAUGUCAACGAGUCUAAGGAGGAAAAUCUCCAGUAGUGGU